CACACAGUUCAGCGGGGAAAACCAUCACUCGCUGGGGUUUUCCUAGAGGCGCCCUGCCCUUGGGUAUAUAGCAGGCGGCGACCAUACUUGCGGCACCACUUCCCUCGCGAGUCACCCAAGAUGAAGUUUGCCAUUGUCCUCAGCUGCCUGGUCUUGGUGGCCGCCCUGGCUUCCGCGGCCCCCACAAGACAAGCCGCGGACGAGGGAGCAGAGGUCGGUGCCUUUCUCCCCAUGAUGAUGAUUGACUACGACCACUUUCUGGACGUCGAGGGAUGCUCCUGGAUAAAGAAAUGCAAGGACGGAGUGUGUUCCCGCGUCAAGGACUGUUAGUGAGCAGCGUUGUGGAAGCUGAAAAGAGGCAGCUUCUUAAGACGCCCACAACUCCCGCUUGCCCCACCAGCCGCCUAUCCACACGACCCCUCUGUGAUUUGGAUGUUUACCUCUGUCUCGCCCCCACCCACCGAGCCUUCUGUGACGCCCUCAUCAUGCACACAGUACCUGAAGGGUGAUCUGCUCCUGCAUCUCCCGACUGUCACCACUACUAUCACCAUCAUCAUCACCCUCCUCUGUCUCUGGAAACAGCCAGGCUAGCAUUAGACAGCGUGUUGUUGAAUGAUUGAGUAAUCUUAUCUUACUUUAUAUAAUCACUACUACUAAUGCAAUCGUUGUCCGCACAAGUGUUAUGAAGUAAUUUGUAAGACAAUAAAAACUUGUUCUUCA